rfam:Camelus ferus unplaced genomic scaffold scaffold105, whole genome shotgun sequence.
GUGGGUAUAGCUCAGUAAUAGAGCAUAUGCUUAGCAUGCAUGAGGUCCAGGGUUCAAUCCCCAGUACUUCCA